rnacentral:piRNA from 1 species
AGUAGAGUGUUGCGCGUCUGACA